AGAGGUUUGUUCCCAUCGAACAGAACUGCACUCAUAUUGGCGUGCAAGAUAAUGGGGAUGAGGGAAACCCAGAAGCCACACAAACACACACAGUUAUAUAAGAAUGGACAGGGGAUAGCCAUACAGCGCAGAUCACUAAAACCACGUCUGGAAUACACGAGGACCCCGGUUCUCAUUUUAUGCAUUUUGGGAUCAUGAUUCAACCUACGGGUAACAGGACAAUAAAGUUAUAAAUAGACCUAUACAUUAUUGUUUUUAAAUUGUAGUAUUAUAACCAUCGAAACGCACAUUAACAUUACGCUUACCAUAGUUUAUUACAGCAAAGGCGAAGUCAACCAAUGUGCGUAAAGUUGCCUAUGUAGCAGGUAUGUAGGCUAUACACUCUGAAUGCUCUGUCAAAGGGCGAGCUACCGUAUAGGCUACCGUAUAGGCUACCGUAUAAACACAACAGAUACCAACAACAGAUCAACAGUAUUUCUUACUCAACUUCAAAACACCAGCUCUCACGCUCCGGUCACAGAAGCUAUAGCAAUACAGACACACAAACUCACCCAGUCAGGUAGUACAGGAUAAUUGAGAGCCGCAGCGGGGCUUGAACCAGCGAGUCUGUGCCCCUAGAAAACGUCCCCUAGUCAUAGCCUGGAGGGUGAAUGAACGUAAAGCACUUUACCUUGCCUGCAUAGUAUGAGUUACUGUCGCGUCCCCUGCCACGCCGGCGCUCAUCCUCCAGCCACGGACACAGCCACGGACACAGCCACGGACACAGGAGGGAGACGCGCGGAGUCGUACGCGUCGGACGGUUCCCGGUGCUGAAAGGAGAAGGGCGAACUGCGCUCGGCGCGGAAAAGAAGAGGCCGUUUGUUUUUGCUCUAUGGUGACGUCGGCAGUCGAUCCUGCAGGUGAAGAAUCCGGAUGUGGAGGUCCUGGGCUGGCG